rnacentral:lncRNA from 1 species
GUUCUUUGGCUCUUGUGUGAGUGGAUGGUGACACCAGGCCAGCUGGGGAUUCUUCCCAGGCUGGGCUCACAGGCUGGGGCUGGGCACACGGAGCAGCUGCGGGAAAAGGAUCUGGACACCAGCCCCCCAGCGUGUCACCGGCAGGAAGGUGAGGUGGGAACAGAGUGACGUCCAUGCAUGUUCAGGACUAAGCCAGUGGAUCACAAACAUCCUGGAGAGCAGUGACUCUGUGAUUCCAUCACAAGAAUAUGAAGGACUGAGAAGAUCUCCAGCUCUGCCCAUUGCACCUUCCCAUUGAGAAGCAGCAUGGCACCCUGGUGGCAGGGGCUGAUACUCAGCCGGGCCAGGGUGCUCUCCUGUUAACCAUAACCAAGCUCACAGGACAUGGGAUGAGCCCACUGUGUGACACAGGGAGCGGGACACAGUCUGUUAAGUCUUGCACAGCCAUGCUCUGCCACGCAGGCAGGCCUUUCCUUGGCCUCCCUCUCCCUGUUCGUGCUCAUGUGAACAUCCACCUACGUGGAUAGACUGGGCUUUGGUUCAUUAUUGCUCUGUGAAUUCCUCGAACUUCCGCAUCUGCCCAACCUCCCCCACCCCAUUGUUUUCAUUGUGUUUCACCAAAUGGAAAUUCUAGAGUGAUGAACCUGAGGCUCAAAAUGAACAAGUGACUUCCCAAGGCCAAUGAUAAGCACUAGACCAUUAAUUUCUUCUUUAGAUGUCAAGUCCUUUCCAUUCUGCACUGGCACAGACAUCUCAAGUUGAGGCCUAUAAGCAAACACCUAUGUCCUAACCAAAAGACUAGGAUUCCCAAAGAAAUUAUACAAGAUGAUUUAAAUUUCCUGGACCUUUCCUUUUAUGGUGUGCCUAUCAGUUAGGAUUCUUUACAAAUAACAGAUAACCCAAAUCAAAAUGCUUAAGCAAAAAACAUGAUUUUUUAAAAAUCUCAUGUAGCUGAAAGUACAGAGUAGGGCAGAUAUCAGAGUUGAUUGAUUCAGAGGCCAGAUGAUGUCAUCAAGACCUGCAUUCUGCAGUCACGCUUCGUCUGAAAGCUGGGUCCCUUGUUUUCUGGGAAGAAUUCAGGACAAUUCGCAGACGGAGAGCAUUUUCCCAAGCAACAAUUUUGAGAGGAACCCUGAUCAGAUGGUUUAUGUAAAACGACCAGAUGCUGUGGCCAGGGAAGGAAAGAUGCUGCCCUGGUCACCCCUGGCAUCAUGUAGUGUCAGCCUUCCCCAUAGCCCAUGGAGCAGGGGAGGAUAAUGGGAUAAAAAUCCACAUGGCCUCUUUAAGGAGAAGCGGGUGGGAAGGUGAACACUGGAUAGUAAACUAAUAACGGCCAUCCGGUGUUCACAUGCUACAGACAUCAAAGCCUAAUUCUCUUCGUUUUCAGAUAGAAUCUUCAACUCGGAGGCACCAGUCUCUCUCACUUGAGGAAAGAAUGCGAAGGAAGGAAUGGCCUGACUUCCUCAUGUGUGCCCUGUUUCUCGGUAGGCACCAUGUGGGGGCUGCCACACAUGUGCCGAAGCUUUGGGAACGUUCCGUUUAAAUACCAAUUUCGAUGCCAAUGCCUAACAUGGAGCACAAAUAUCCAGGUACCUCUCUGAUUUCUUCUCUUAUGCUUCAAACUCUUUGAGAACAGAAAUUUUUCUCAUUUGUGUUUGUAUCAUCUGUAGUAUUUAGCAAUGCCUUGCCUAUAGUAGGUAGGUGCUUAAUGACUAUUGUAUUCCAUUAGGGCCUAUUCAGUGAUGGUUUAAGUUUAGAAAAGAGUUUCCCUUGCAUUCAGUUUGCCAGUUUUUGAUCAGCAUCAUUAAAGGAGAACUAGCUUUACCUCUUUAAUAAUUUGUUUAAUUCUAAAUCAGUAAAAUUUUUGUGGUAUGCUGACGACAUGGCCUAAGCUAUUGCAGGAGGUUGAGAUAUUCAAGGUGAUAGAAAAAUAUCUAAGACCAAAUUCCUGUCCUGAAGAAGCUCACAUAGUUGUGGGAGCCAUAGAUAAGAAAGAAGCAUUUACGAAGCACAUCAAAAGUGUCUCAGAAGAGCUGUAUACUUGGCCAUGGGGGCAGCAGGUAAGAAGAGGAGGGAAGGGAAGAGGAGGGGAGGGAAGAGUAAGAGAGGGGAGGGAAAAGGAGGGAAGG